rnacentral:rRNA from 1 species
AUUGAACGCUGGCGGCAGGCUUAACACAUGCAAGUCGAGCGGAGCGAGGGUGCUUGCACCUUAGCUUAGCGGCGGACGGGUGAGUAAUGCUUAGGAAUCUGCCUAUUAGUGGGGGACAACAUUCCGAAAGGAAUGCUAAUACCGCAUACGCCCUACGGGGGAAAGCAGGGGAUCUUCGGACCUUGCGCUAAUAGAUGAGCCUAAGUCGGAUUAGCUAGUUGGUGGGGUAAAGGCCUACCAAGGCGACGAUCUGUAGCGGGUCUGAGAGGAUGAGCCGCCACACUGGGACUGAGACACGGCCCAGACUCCUACGGGAGGUAGCAGUGGGGAAUAUUGGACAAUGGGCGGAAGCCUGAUCCAGCCAUGCCGCGUGUGUGAAGAAGGCCUUUUGGUUGUAAAGCACUUUAAGCGAGGAGGAGGCUACUUAGAUUAAUACUCUGGGAUAGUGGACGUUACUCGCAGAAUAAGCACCGGCUAACUCUGUGCCAGCAGCCGCAGUAA